rnacentral:lncRNA from 1 species
UAUAUAUAUAUAUAUAUAUAUAUGUAUGUGUAUAUGUAUUUCUAUAUAUGUGGAUGUAUGUGCACAUACACAGUAAUGAAGACGAAAAGAAUGGAUAAUUUGUGUUACUACUCACGUUUUAGUUGCAAAAUUUAUUAUUAAAACAAUGCAUGUAACGACGCGCAUGAUCAGAUAACGUUAUGCAAUAAUGAACGUGUUUUUCAUAAACUGCCACGUCUUCAGGUGAUACUUCAUUAGAAGUUCAUUAGGCGAUAUGCCAACGAAGGGAGAAUGGUGGUAUAUGAAAUUUCAAGUGAAAGAGAAUUAGAUAUACAGAUUUAUUCAUUUGGAGCGGGGUGGGGUGAUUCAUAUAGAGUCAUGAAGGAGGCAAUCAAAAUCGUUAACUUCACAGCAUAAACAGAUUCAUUAGAUUCAGAACACACACACACACACACACACACACACACAACACACACACGAAACACAUAUAUACAUAUAUAUAUAUAUAUAUAUAUAAUAUAUAUAUAUAUAUAUAUA